rnacentral:rRNA from 1 species
GAGCGGAUGACGGGAGCUUGCUCCUUGAUUCAGCGGCGGACGGGUGAGUAAUGCCUAGGAAUCUGCCUGGUAGUGGGGGACAACGUUUCGAAAGGAACGCUAAUACCGCAUACGUCCUACGGGAGAAAGCAGGGGACCUUCGGGCCUUGCGCUAUCAGAUGAGCCUAGGUCGGAUUAGCUCGUUGGUGGGGUAAUGGCUCACCAAGGCGACGAUCCGUAACUGGUCUGAGAGGAUGAUCAGUCACACUGGAACUGAGACACGGUCCAGACUCCUACGGGAGGCAGCAGUGGGGAAUAUUGGACAAUGGGCGAAAGCCUGAUCCAGCCAUGCCGCGUGUGUGAAGAAGGUCUUCGGAUUGUAAAGCACUUUAAGUUGGGAGGAAGGGCAGUAAGCUAAUACCUUGCUGUUUUGACGUUACCGACAGAAUAAGCACCGGCUAACUCUGUG